CUCAGUUUGUCAACCAUGUGGAUCACUUCGUGGGUGUUUUGAAAGAAGCUCGAUAGGUCUUGGAUGAGGUCGAGUCUCGAGCCACUUAGCCCAAGGCCCAGGCUAUCUAGGCCGAGAAGAAGGCAGAUAAGGCCCUAGAAUUAAAGAUAGUAGCCGACGAGGAAAUCUAGUCCUUGAAGGCUAAAAAUAGAAUCGCUGGAGGUCAUGGUCACUAA
rnacentral:lncRNA from 1 species